UUCCGGUUGAUCCCGCCGGACCUGACUGCUAUCGGAUUGAUACUAAGCCAUGCGAGUCUUUGUAGUAAUACAAGGCAGACGGCUCAGUAACACGUAGUCAACCUACCCUAUGGACGAGAAUAAUCUCGGGAAACUGAGCAUAAUUCUCGGUAGAUCAUAAUGCCUGGAAUGGUUUAUGGUUAAAAUGAUUCUUCGCCAUAGGAUGGGACUGCGGCCUAUCAGCUUGUUGGUGAGGUAAUGGCCCACCAAGGCGAUUACAGGUACGGGCUCUGAGAGGAGAAGCCCGGAGAUGGGUACUGAGACACGGACCCAGGCCCUAUGGGGCGCAGCAGGCGAGAAAACUUUGCAAUGUGCGAAAGCACGACAAGGUUAAUCCGAGUGAUUUCUGCUAAAGAAAUCUUUUGCCAGUCAUAAAACCACUGGUGAAUAAGGGGUGGGCAAGUUCUGGUGUCAGCCGCCGCGGUAAAACCAGCACCUCAAGUGGUCAGGAUGAUUAUUGGGCCUAAAGCAUCCGUAGCCGGCUUUGUUAGUUUUCGGUUAAAUCCAUGUGCUCAACGCAUGGGCUGCCGAAAAUACUGCAGGGCUAGGGAGUGGGAGAGGUAGACGGUACUCAGUAGGAAGGGGUAAAAUCCUUUGAUCUAUUGAUGACCACCUGUGGCGAAGGCGGUCUACCAGAACACGUUCGACGGUGAGGGAUGAAAGCUGGGGGAGCAAACCGGAUUAGAUACCCGGGUAGUCCCAGCUGUAAACGAUGCAGACUCGAUGAUGCAUUGGCAUAUAGCCAGUGCAGUGUCGCAGGGAAGCCGUUAAGUCUGCCGCCUGGGAAGUACGUACGCAAGUAUGAAACUUAAAGGAAUUGGCGGGGGAGCACCACAAGGGGUGAAGCCUGCGGUUCAAUUGGAGUCAACGCCGGG
rnacentral:rRNA from 1 species